rnacentral:rRNA from 1 species
ACGGGUGAGGAAUACAUCGGAAUCUACUCUGUCGUGGGGGAUAACGUAGGGAAACUUACGCUAAUACCGCAUACGACCUACGGGUGAAAGCAGGGGAUCUUCGGACCUUGCGCGAUUGAAUGAGCCGAUGUCGGAUUAGCUAGUUGGCGGGGUAAAGGCCCACCAAGGCGACGAUCCGUAGCUGGUCUGAGAGGAUGAUCAGCCACACUGGAACUGAGACACGGUCCAGACUCCUACGGGAGGCAGCAGUGGGGAAUAUUGGACAAUGGGCGCAAGCCUGAUCCAGCCAUACCGCGUGGGUGAAGAAGGCCUUCGGGUUGUAAAGCCCUUUUGUUGGGAAAGAAAUCCAUCUGGCUAAUACCCGGAUGGGAUGACGGUACCCAAAGAAUAAGCACCGGCUAACUUCGUGCCAGCAGCCGCGGUAAUACGAAGGGUGCAAGCGUUACUCGGAAUUACUGGGCGUAAAGCGUGCGUAGGUGGUCGUUUAAGUCCGUUGUGAAAGCCCUGGGCUCAACCUGGGAACUGCAGUGGAUACUGGGCGACUAGAGUGUGGUAGAGGGUAGCGGAAUUCCUGGU